ensembl:lncRNA
AGGGCAUGACUCCCUUCCCCCAUGGUCCUUAUUGUGCUGUAAAGGGAUCUGAAAGCUUCUUGAGUCACAGUCUGCGAGCAUCUCCUAGUGCCUCUACAAACAACACGUGUGAGCACAAGUGGGAGUGUGUGGUACCUAUAAAGUCACCACGCAGAGCAUGGCAUGGGAGGGUGCACCACUGGGUUCCUGCUCUCUGCUCAGCUGUGCUGUUGUGAUGGCUCUGCAUUCCCUGGUCAGAGCUCCCCAGGGCCGCCGAGGGGCGGGGAGAUGCCAGGGGUCCUGAUGGUGCUGCAUCCUUCCCUCCCCAGGGCUGCAGGCUGGGACACACCAGCUCCGUGGGAACCUCAUCCUCCUGCCCAUGGCAGUGGUGAUGCUUCUCCACUGUGCGAGUGCAGGUCCAGGAAUGCCCACCGCCAGCUCGCGGAGCGUUCCUGUUGCAGGGUCCCCGCGGACUGCAGCCACCUCCCGCAAGACCAGCCCCAGCGGGGUGUACGUCAUCCAGCCGGCACGGUCCCCCCCGCGUGGUGUGGUGUGACAUGGACACCUGAAGGCAAGGGCUGGACUGUUGUCCAGAGAAACUCUCAUGACACGAAGAAUCGCGUGGAAGCAAUCCUGGACCACCUACCAAGUACGGCUUCGGGAACGUGCAGGGCGACCACUGGCUGGGCACCGAGUACCUGCACCUGCUCACACAGCAGGGCACCCUACAAGGUCCGCUCGUCGUGCGGGACAAAGCCAACGUCACCCACUACGCUGAGUACGACAUCUUCAGAGUGGGAGAGCGAGAGCAGCGGGUACCCGCUGAGGCUGGGCCGGUAUUCUGGUGAAGGGGACGACUAUCUGACCGGCUACUACCCCAAGAAGGAGGCCAUCCACGACACAUGAAGUUCAGCACGGUGGAUAAGGAUCAGGACCAGACAGCGGGAACUGCGCCAGCAGCUACGGGGGGUGGUGGUACGACAGGUGCCAGAAUGUUGUGCUCAAUGCCAAAAAGUACAUCCUCUGGCCAGGAUUCCUGUGAUAAAGGCGACUGCGCAUCAUCCCUCAUCCUGGUCAAACCCACUGAUGUGUGCUGACUGUGCCAGAGGUUGGGGAAGUGCCACUGUCCACAGCCGGUCCCCAUCCCUUUGCCUACCAGCCCUGUGCCAGCCCUCUGGGCACCCCAUGGCACCUGCAGCUCCCACCACAGACACCAGCUCCAACACUGUGGCUCUGGCACUCGGGAGCGGUCUCCUGGAGCCCCGGGCACAUGGGCAGCUUUGCCCAGUGCUGCUGUGUUGGCUGGCACCGGGACGCAGGCACUGCUUUGGGGUGGGUGAAGGGGAGAAGUACAAGUUCCCUUCUCCGUGCAAUCAGCAUCUCCCCGCUUCGCUCCUCAGUCCAUAAUUGCUACCCACACUGUGAGAAAUCAGCUAUAAUAAACCCCAGAGCCAGACUUUGCUGCCUCCUGUCUUCUUGCUGUAUCAAUAAUGUGAAUAAAUGGAGGAAGGACCACUCUGUCC